GGGUGAUCCAGGCAUUCCAGGUUGACCUGGACCCCCUGGGCCUUUUGGCCCUCCAGGUCCUCGGAGGCCGACUGGAAUUCCAGGAGGUAAAGGGCCAAAGGGAAGCAUGGGAGACCAGGGUAGAAAUCCCCCCAAAGGUGAAAAGGGAGAGGUAGGAUUACCUGGUCUCAAAGGUCCCAAAGGCUCCAUCACAACUUUAUCAGGAAACAAACCGGACGAGGUUCUGAUGGGAGAAAAGGGAUAUCGGGGAGACCCA